UUUAAUUUGUCGGGGCUGGGAUGCUCGUGAUCGGUUGCCUGUGUAGUUCUACCCUGUUGUGGGUAGCGAAGUUGCCCCUCGAUUGAUAUUUGCUUGCCUUUCUGACAUUUUUUUUGUCAUUUGGGUAGCCGAAAUGAUGGCGAAAUCCUUGUGUAGGUGCGUGGUCGAAUGGACUUGCUGCUGUCACUUGGAUUUUUGCCGGCUCUCACGGAUGCAGUGCCUAGUGCUAGCUCUGCGUGACUUUGCCACGCAGACUUCGGGAGGUCCCCUGUACGAAUCAUUGCGAUGUGGACGCCGUUUGUCGUGUUGCUUGUUUGGCACGCAAAUCGUAUUGUUCUGUCUGGAGUCGGGAUGACGAAGGGCAAGAAUGAAGUGUCCGGGGCAUGGUUGCGUACAUGCGGAAUGCCUCUCUGAUCGUAUGAGCAGCGAUUUCCGGCUCGCGUCCUGCGAAGGCCU
rnacentral:misc_RNA from 1 species